rnacentral:rRNA from 1 species
GAACCAAAAAUAGUAACUCAUCAAGAAAACACUAUUUUUAUUAAUGUUGACCUAACACAAGAACAUUGUAAGAAAGAUUAAAAGAAAAAGAAGGAACUCGGCAAAUAUUAACCUCGCCUGUUUACCAAAAACAUCGCCUCUUGAAUUUUAUAAGAGGUCCAGCCUGCCCAGUGACUCUGUUCAACGGCCGCGGUAUCCUAACCGUGCGAAGGUAGCGUAAUCACUUGUUCUUUAAAUGUGGACUAGUAUGAAUGGCACUACGAGGGUUAUACUGUCUCCUUUCUCUAAUCAGUGAAACUAAUUUUCCCGUGAAGAAGCGGGAAUACACCUAUAAGACGAGAAGACCCUAUGGAGCUUUAAACAAUCCAGCAAUUACUUUUUAAAUUAUAAAUUUCAGAAUGUUCAUUUUUUAAGUAAUGUGACUGCAAGUUUUCGGUUGGGGUGACCAUGGAGAAUAACACAACCUCCAUAUUGAAUGAAUUUUAUUCUAAGCUAAAAAUUACUUAUUAAAGCAUCAAUACACUGACAUCUAUUGACCCAAUAUAUUUGAUCAACGAACCAAGUUACCCUAGGGAUAACAGCGCAAUCCACUUCAAGAGCCCCUAUCGACAAGUGGGUUUACGACCUCGAUGUUGGAUCAGGGUAUCCCAGUGGCGCAGCCGCUACUAA